UGAGUUGACUACUUCCAUGCCCUAAACACAUCUGUUACACAUAUAUAAAGGUACAUGUCUAUGAUGAGGAUCAUAUGCAUAUAUAAAGGUACAUGUCUAUGAUGUGGAUCAUAUGCAUGUAUAAAGGUACAUGUCUAUGAUGAGGAUCAUAUGCAUGUAUAAAGGUACAUGUCUAUGAUGAGGAUCAUAUGCAUAUAUAAAGGUACAGGUCUAUGAUGAGGAUCA